AUUGAACGCUGGCGGCAGGCCUAACACAUGCAAGUCGAACGAGUGGCGGACGGGUGAGUAAUGUCUGGGAAACUGCCUGAUGGAGGGGGAUAACUACUGGAAACGGUAGCUAAUACCGCAUACCAUCAGAUGUGCCCAGAUGGGAUUUGCUUGUUGGUGGGGUAACGGCUCACCAAGGCGACGAUCCCUAGCUGGUCUGAGAGGAUGACCAGCCACACGUGAACUGAGACACGGGCCAGCAUCCGACGGGAGGCAGCAGUGGGGAAUAUUGCACAAGGGGCGCAAGCCUGAAGCAGCCAUGCCGCGUGUAGGAAGCAGGGCUUCGGGUUGUAAAGUACUUUCAGCGGGGAGGCGUUACCCGCAGAAGAAGCACCGGCUAACUCCGUGCCAGCAGCCGCGGUAAUAC
rnacentral:rRNA from 1 species